UCAUCUUUGAGGUGACCGGCGCUUUUGGCCGAGGUUUCGACAUUUCGAGAAUAUCGUUCUAAAUAAGGGACGUCGUUCGAAGCCCUAGCUGUCAGUCAAAACGCGUAACUUAUUCUGUGGCGUUCUGGUCGACUCUAAGCAGAACUUAAUCCUUUAAGGUCAACAAAUCCUUUUGCUUGAUGGCUUUAAAAGUUUCCUUUCACUGCAUUUCUUAGUGAAAAUGACUGGCCAUUACUGCUUUCAUGUAAGGAUUGACCCAUACUAGAAUAUUCUUUCACUGUCUUGAUCUCAUAACUUUUAGUGUUUGGCUCACAUCAGUUAUAUUUCUGUACGCAAGACAACAUUUCUUUGCAAGAGAGGAAAGCAGAGGUCUACAGGGACUAAAGUCGCCUAAGAGGAUGUUGCUGUUGCGGUGGCUCGGGGGAGGAGGAGACAUAUCGGCGACGGUAUGAGAAACCCGCUCCCCAUAAAUAACGGACAUUUCUGAACCCCCCCGCUAUCUGUGAGGCCAAACGCACGGGAUUGGCGGAUAAAUUUCGCGUGCACGUACCUGGCUUGUGGCCCUGGACCAGGAGGAGGGUGAUGAGGAGGAGCAGGAGGACGAAGAGCAGCUUCUGUAAUCUCAUUUCGGCGCGUGGGUUUGGCGGAGAGCCUGGACUGAGGUCGGGGAUGCGUGAAGACGGAGGAGAGGCAGAGAAAAUCCUCCAGAGUUUCCCCCGGUGCGCAAGCUCACGGUUCACAAAUGCACAGGCUCUGCUUGCUCUGCUCCAGAGUUAAAGAUCGCACAGUCUCUGCUUGCUCUGCUCCAGAGUUAAAGAUCGCACAGUCUCUGCUCCAGAGUUAAAGAUCACAGUCUCUGCUUGCUCUGCUCCAGAGUUAAUGAUCACAUCAGGAGAAUUAGCGCUCAGGGUGGGGGGCCUGUGGGUAUCCCUCUUUUUUCUUCUUCUUGUGAGUUCCAACUCCACAGAGUAUAAACCUGGCACCCUGCUCUUUUUUCUUCCUUUCCUUCUUUUCUUUUGCUUGUAUCCCCCUUCAGAGACACCAAAUUUUCUUUCUUUUCUUUUUUUUUUUUUAAAAAAGGCACUUAGAAGAAUUUCACCAUGUCGACACCAAUUGUCCCGUCCGUGGAUGAGUGAGAAAGACCUCCGCAACAAUGCAGCAGCUGUCUAUGUUUGCUGUCUCAACGCAUAAGAAGGAAUGCAUCAUUACAGUGCCUGAACAAUACAGAGAUGGAACCAGCAGCCAUAGUCCUUCUUACUCAAAGCCUUUUUGGUUGUAAAAUGAUCGGCAUGUUGCUAAAAAAAAAAAGCAAAACAGCACUUUGGGAUUGUUUACAUUUGGGACGAGUGAGGUGUGCAUGUAUACAGUAUCAGUGCGGUGUCACACUGAAAGUUGACGCUGUGUCUUAGUGUGUUGGCGAGUGGCAAGAAUUUGUUUUCAUUUGGGAUUAUAUGUCAUUACAAGGAUUAACCCAACGGGGUCAAAUAAUCCCUACGUUACAAUUUAGCCAUUUAAACAUUAAACUACAUAAACUGGACAAGAAUUUAUAAACCAGAUGCUGUAAAACCAGACAUGCACUUUUUUUUGUUUUUUUUUACAAUUUUCUGACAGAUAGAAACAAGCACAUUUCAAAGAAGCAGCAUUCCCGUCUGUUAAAAGGUGAUAGCUGUUUGAUCGAUGACCUCAACAAAACAGUGAAAUUGCCACUGCGCAUUGUGAUUGUGGUGUCAAAGAGCCAAUAAAUGGCAGUUUAGACUGUAAGAUAAUCAGGUGUCACUGCUGCAUUUCAAACUGGCUGUAAAGCAGAUGAUCUCCUGCUACUGACAGAACAAGAAAGAAACCAGAUAGCCUACAUCUCUCUCUUCUCUCUUUCUCUUCCUCUCUCUCUCUCUCGGUUCUAUUCAGUUCAAUGUACGUUAUUGGUGUGAAAUAUAUACUGUGUAGCGCACAUUGCCAAAGCAAACAAGAAACACGCAAAACAAGUUGUGUCUGUCUUUUUGUAUCUGAAUUUGACCGUGUGAGGGAGAGGGGAGGUCUAAAUAAACAAAACCUUCUGUCCUGAUCUAUACGUUAUAUGAGUCUUAAGGGUGGGACACCGUCACAGGAACACAUCCCUGCAGAUAUACUGUCCAGAUGGAAGGCGAGAAUAGAAAUAAAAACAUGCCGAUUCCCCCCCCCGGGGUACACCGUCAGCGGCUGGAAGUGCGCUGCAAAUAGACACGUACUGCAUGGCGGAGUGCUUUAAACUCUGUGCGCGGAGAACGCGGAGUUUCUGAGGAAAACGCCGGAACCAGGGGCUUCAGUUUGUCGUGCGACGUGUCGUUUGUUGCACAUCAGGCAACAAAAAUGACAUUUAACUGCUGAGCCUGGUUGGGCUCGGGUCUGAUUCGGAUUUAUCUGUGGGGAAAAUAAAAGGCGAAUGGCCGACAGAGCCGCUUUGCAGUCAUUAGUGCAUAAAGGACGGAAAAACGGGCUCG